UGCUGCUGCUGCUAGCACUAGCACGCCGGGGUUCGUCCGAGAAGACGCCUUCUUGUCCAUCCUAGUCGAUUGCUUCGGCCAGUAGGUAGAUCCUAUCUUCUGAACAUCAGUAGGUCGCAGUGCUACAGUACAUAUGUGCUAGAAAAUUAAACAAUAAGGAUAUAUCGAUAUGUAGAGGAUCCGCGUGGAAGCAAGAAGCUGUAAACCGUAGACUCAUCGCCAGUUCACCACCGCCCCGGCUACAAACGGGAUAUUUGAACUCAAUACACUUGUCAAAUGUCUUCAAGAACGGAGGAGAUGUUUUACUUGCUAGCUCUGAAACAGGAUCAAGACUUCUAGAGGUCCUAAGACCUGCCGGGAACUCUCAUUUCCUCCUGGUUGGAAUGCUGGAAUCAUUUUCUACUCUUGUUCGGUUAUUUUUAAUACACAUGAAUUGAUUGAGAUUAGAAAAAAUUAAAAAAA
rnacentral:lncRNA from 1 species